rnacentral:misc_RNA from 1 species
CAACCCUCAAGCCCCCUGUGGACUUGGUGUUGGGGACCGGCGACAGCCUCCUGUCGCCGCCCCCUAAAUGAAUUGGCGGCCCCGUCGCGGCCCUCCUCUGCGUAGUAGCACACACCUCGCAACAGGAGCCCGUCGGUGGCCACUGUCGUAAAACACCCAACUUUUUCAG